rnacentral:other from 1 species
CCCAGCUUCAGAUGCAAAAUUAAAUUGCGCAGUUGCGCAUGGAGGUUUCAUUCAUAUGGAACAAGGUACUGUUAAAUGGUUUAACGCUGACAAGGGUUACGGUUUCUUAACUCGCGAAAAUGGUGACGAUGUAUUCGUUCACUUCUCAGCUAUCCAAGGUGACGGCUUCAAGACUUUGGACGAAGGCCAACACGUAACGUUUGAUGUUGAAGAUAGCGACCGUGGCCCACAAGCUACUAACGUUAAUAAAGACUAAUUUAAACGUUAAAAACACUCACCUGUUGGUGGGUGUUUUUUU